rnacentral:rRNA from 1 species
CUUCCGUAGGUGAACCUGCGGAAGGAUCAGU